rnacentral:lncRNA from 1 species
CGUUCACUGCGAUGCUGCUUUGUGCACAAUGUAUGCAUUUUCAGGUUAAGAAGAGGACAGUGUCCAGUAUUAUUUUUUUCACAUGAAAGCUAGCAUUGAAUAAGAAAAGAUUGAUUGAGACAUAGGUCUGGCACAUUUUAUCACACGCUUGCAUGUAACAUGACAGCUACAUCAGAAAUUGAGGAAAACUGCCGUGAGUGAAGAAGUGAAAUGUGGAAGAUGUGGAUGUAAAAAAUCUUCCGGGCACACACACAAAGAGCAUGAACUUCAAAGAAAUCUGCACUCAAAGAGGCAUCAGGAUUCCGAUACAUGCUGUAUACACAGAGGCACUUACGGACUUAAAUGUGCAGGUCAUGUGAAGAAGUUUAAGAGGGGACAGACCAUGUGCACAGUUAAGAAUACAGAACCAUGCAAACUUAACUGUAUUUUGACUGGACAUCCUUUCUUUAGUUUGUACUGAAAUAAAGCUAGUGUACGUGCCAGCACAUGAUCACUGAUAUGUUUUGAGGUAAAAUUUAUUCACCAUAGGGGGCGACGCCGUACAUGACGGGUCGACACAGUAUAGUACUAUGUACUACGUAAAGUCACUCUCACAAUCUGCUCCUGGGUUCAAAUUCACGUCGUUUAAUAACCUUCUUUAAUCUGUCAUUGAUGGCAAUUAAGUCGAUCCAGUUUUUCAUGUGGUCUCUAGGAUUCUCCCAAGCAUAUAACCUUUUUUUUUCCAUUUAGUCCUACGUUCAUGGUCACCACUGAGAAUAAUGUAUAUCAAUAUUGUUUCAUUUGCUGGAAGGUAAUUGUCAAGGGGAAAAUGUCCAAAACUACCA